UACAGAGGGUGCAAGCGUUAAUCGGAAUUACUGGACGUAAAGCGUGCGUAGACGGUUACAUAAGUCGGGUGUGAAAGCCCCGGGCUCAACCUGGGAAUUGCAUUCGAGACUGCGUAGCUAGGGUGCGGAAGAGGGAAGCGGAAUUUCCGGUGUAGCGGUGAAAUGCGUAGAUAUCGGAAGGAACACCAGUGGCGAAAGCGGCUUCCUGGUCCAGCACCGACGUUCAGGCACGAAAGCGUGGGGAGCAAACAGG
rnacentral:rRNA from 1 species